AGAGGGGGCCAGCGUUAUUCGGAAUUAUUGGGCGUAAAGGGCGCGUAGGCGGCCAUGCGUGUCUUUCGUGAAAUCCCUCGGCUUAACUGAGGACGUGCGGAAGAAACUGCAAGGCUUGAGUCCGGGAGAGGGGGGUGGAAUUCCCAGUGUAGCGGUGAAAUGCGUAGAUAUUGGGAGGAACACCGGUGGCGAAGGCGGCCCCCUGGACCGGUACUGACGCUGAGGCGCGAAAGCGUGGGUAGCAAACGGGAUUAGAUACCCCGGUAGUCCACGCCGUAAACGAUGGGCACUUGGUGUCGCGGGUAUCGACCCCUGCGGUGCCGAAGCUAACGCAUUAAGUGCCCCGCCUGGGGAGUACGGUCGCAAGGCUG
rnacentral:rRNA from 1 species